CGACCCUGUGCGGGAGAGUCCUCCGAGUGAGUUCGACGGAGGCGCCGAAGGAGCAAAUCCUCCCCGGAAUCUCUCAGGCAUACGUACCGCACGUGGUGA
rfam:Streptomyces sp. Mg1, complete genome.